rnacentral:rRNA from 1 species
GAUGAACGCUGGCGGCGUGCCUAAUACAUGCAAGUCGAGCGAACAGACGAGGAGCUUGCUCCUCUGACGUUAGCGGCGGACGGGUGAGUAACACGUGGAUAACCUACCUAUAAGACUGGGAUAACUUCGGGAAACCGGAGCUAAUACCGGAUAAUAUAUUGAACCGCAUGGUUCAAUAGUGAAAGACGGUUUUGCUGUCACUUAUAGAUGGAUCCGCGCCGCAUUAGCUAGUUGGUAAGGUAACGGCUUACCAAGGCGACGAUGCGUAGCCGACCUGAUAGGGUGAUCGGCCACAUUGGAGCUGAGACACGGUCCAGACUCCUACGGGAGGCAGCAGUAGGGAAUCUGCCGCAAUGGGCGAAAGCCUGACGGAGCAACGCCGCGUGAGUGAUGAAGGUCUUCGGAUCGUAAAACUCUGUUAUUAGGGAAGAACAAAUGUGUAAGUAACUAUGCACGUCUUGACGGUACCUAAUCAGAAAGCCACGGCUAACUACGUG